GACGAACGCUGGCGGCGUGCCUAAUACAUGCAAGUUGAGCGCUGAAGGUUGGUACUUGUACCAACUGGAUGAGCAGCGAACGGGUGAUUAACGCGUGGGGAAUCUGCCUUUGAGCGGGGGACAACAUUUGGAAACGAAUGCUAAUACCGCAUAAAAACUUUAAACACAAGUUUUAAGUUUGAAAGAUGCAAUUGCAUCACUCAAAGAUGAUCCCGCGUUGUAUUAGCUAGUUGGUGAGGUAAAGGCUCACCAAGGCGAUGAUACAUAGCCGACCUGAGAGGGUGAUCGGCCACAUUGGGACUGAGACACGGCCCAAACUCCUACGGGAGGCAGCAGUAGGGAAUCUUCGGAAAUGGACGAAAGUCUGACCGAGAAACGCCGAGUGAGUGAAGAAGGUUUUCGGAUCGUAAAACUCUGUUGGUAGAGAAGAACGUUGGUGAGAGUGGAAAGCUCAUCAAGUGACGGUAACUACCCAGAAAGGGACGGCUAACUACGUG
rnacentral:rRNA from 1 species